AAAAUAUUACUUGGUAUUUAAUCAUUUAAAUGUAUAUCACAAUAUAUGCUUGAAUCUCUGUCUUAUGUAAGAGACUGAUUAAUACCUUACACAAGUAAAGUUUACACGAAAAAAAAAGUAAAUUAACCUAAAAAACGAACUCUGAGGAAAACUCAAAAUGGAAAGUCACCAAACAAAUAUCAAAAUCAAAAGCUCAAACAAUUCAAACAAAUGGAUAACAACUACCAUAUUCAUGACUUGGUACAGGCUUAAAGAUACUAUGCAAUAGAAGAAGAAAAAUCAAACCACUACGUACAUGAAAAAAAAACCUUCUGAAAGGAUAUAUGCAUGAUAGAACCAGGUUUACAUGAAGUGAAAGGAAC
rnacentral:lncRNA from 1 species